GUGGACAUCUUACCGGACAGUGCUGGAUUUCUCAGCUCAACUCUAACACUGUCUGGUAACGAUGUUCAA
rnacentral:pre_miRNA from 1 species